GGUAACACUGAAUGGAGGACCGAACCGACUUACGUUGAAAAGUGAGCGGAUGAACUGAGGGUAGCGGAGAAAUUCCAAUCGAACCUGGAGAUAGCUGGUUCUCUCCGAAAUAGCUUUAGGGCUAGCCUCAAGUGAUGAUUAUUGGAGGUAGAGCACUGUUUGGACGAGGGGCCCCUCUCGGGUUACCGAAUUCAGACAAACUCCGAAUGCCAAUUAAUUUAACUUGGGAGUCAGAACAUGGGUGAUAAGGUCCGUGUUCGAAAGGGAAACAGCCCAGACCACCAGCUAAGGUCCCAAAAUAUAUGUUAAGUGGAAAAGGAUGUGGCGUUGCCCAGACAACUAGGAUGUUGGCUUAGAAGCAGCCAUCAUUUAAAGAGUGCGUAAUAGCUCACUAGUCGAGUGACACUGCGCCGAAAAUGUACCGGGGCUAAACAUAUUACCGAAGCUGUGGAUUGUCCUUUGGACAAUGGUAGGAGAGCGUUCUAAGGGCGUUGAAGCAUGAUCGUAAGGACAUGUGGAGCGCUUAGAAGUGAGAAUGCCGGUGUGAGUAGCGAAAGACGGGUGAGAAUCCCGUCCACCGAUUGACUAAGGUUUCCAGAGGAAGGCUCGUCCGCUCUGGGUUAGUCGGGUCCUAAGCUGAGGCCGACAGGCGUAGGCGAUGGAUAACAGGUUGAUAUUCCUGUACCACCUAUAAUCGUUUUAAUCGAUGGGGGGACGCAGUAGGAUAGGCGAAGCGUGCGAUUGGAUUGCACGUCUAAGCAGUAAGGCUGAGUAUUAGGCAAAUCCGGUACUCGUUAAGGCUGA
rnacentral:rRNA from 1 species